rnacentral:rRNA from 1 species
AUGGUGGGGGGCAUGGGGAUUGCCGUGGAGAUGGUCGGGUGGCAGCAGGGGCUGGUCAAGGCCGGCGAGGUGGAGGGCAAGGUAAGGCUUGUCAUGGAGUCGGAGGAGGGCAGAGAGCUCAGGAUGCGUGUCGAGGCGCACAAGGAAGGCGCCGUGGUGGCUCGCAACGACGGCAGGUCGUCGCGCCUGGCGUUUGCCUAGUUCUUGGCGGACGUGGCCAGCCUUCAGGAUCGGGCACGCACUGGGGAAGGGAUCCCCAUGGGACUCCGCGAUGCAUGA